rnacentral:lncRNA from 1 species
UUUCAACUAAAAAACAAGCCUCUCUCCCUCCCUCAAAGUUUCCAGCAGCCAAACAUGGCCACGCCGGCGAGCGGCCGUUCUGAGGCCGGGGCUCCGUCAUGGGCGGUGGUCGGAGCAAGAAAAGAGGGGUUUUGAACCCCGUUCUCGACCUCCACCUUAAGGCCCGAUCCUCCAGACGCAACGAGCCAAAAAAGGAGAGACCUUUCAUCCAUUUCUCGGUCCGAUUCCAGCACCGAAGACGGUCUCCGGGGACAGACUUUCGAGACCGGUAAGAAUCCUUUCUCUCUUUUGUUUCGUUUAAAAAGUUAUAGAAAAUAAAUAAAAAAGGAAGAAAAUAAACAAAAAAGAAACGCAAGAACAGAAAAGAAAAUAGACUGAGAUCAACCUUUUUUGCUUUUUGAUCUUCUUGUUAUUAAUUCGUUGUAUUUUUGUGAAAAUGUUACAAAAGAAAAAGAAAAGACCCGAUUACCGUGAUGAAGCCCCCCUGCUUUCGGUUUACAAAUUGAUUUUUAUACCCAAAAGAAAAGAAAAUAAAAAAUCAAUCUUUGCUGUUGUCCUUUAGGUCUUUGCUUGUUUCUCUCUGUUUGGCCUCUGUUUUUGCAGGAGUAGGUGCGGCGUCAGAGGCAGGAGCGUACGGCACACAUGGCCCUGGCAUGCGGCGCUGGAGAAGGCAGGGAACCCUAGGGUUCCCUGAUUUUUAAUUUUUGGGCCCAAUUGGGCCAAUUUAGUUUUUUGGGCCUACUGUUUUUGGGUUAAUGGGCCCGGGCAAAUUUGGGCCUAUACAGUCAUAAUUCUGACAUAUGGCCCAAAUAGAUAGUUUGCACUCCCAGUCCCCUCUCUUGGUAUCAUAAGUAUCUUUUAAACAACUCUAAAGCUGCUUAAUUUUAAACUUUCUUUGUAUUCUUUUAAUUGAAAACAUUUCAAAUAUAUAUUAUCCAAUAAGUUAUAAAAGUUUCCGGUUGUCCUCUACUUUUUAGUAUAAUGUCACCAGUAAACAUUAAAUGAUUAAAGCUGUAUGCAAAACUACAGGGCAAUUUUUGUGCUCUUUUUGGACUGGGUUUCGGUGAACUGGGCUUCAAGAGGGCUGAAAAUGAUGGGCCUGCAAAAUAGAGAAAGAUUAGCCAUGGUGGCUGUUGAGACUUUAACUAUCCAGUCCACAUUGUUUGAGACAAUACUUGGGAUAGCUUGUUUCAUUCCUUAUUCGAUUUGGGACUGUAUAUUGGAACAAUUAAAGUGCAAUAAGUUUGUUAGUAUUUUUUAUUUGAUUUAUCUUGGUUAGUUUUCUAUCAAGAAAUGAUUCUUGAUUUGAAGUUACAAUUAUUUUUCUCUUGAUUUAAUUUCGAAUGAAAGAAAUAGAAGAGAGGUUGAUUAAAUGCAAAUGUUAUUCUUAUUUAUUAAGGCUUAAAUCAAUUUAUUUUCCUUGGAGAUAAAGUUGAUCAGAUUUACAAACAUUUUCGAAAAUUAAAUGGGAAGAUUUUGUGGAUUAUUAUUUUAGAUUAAUAUGCUGAAUUAUCUCAUCAAAAUUACUUGGAGAAAUUAUUGAUUUUUAACAUACAAAUAGGUUGCAUUACAGCACAUACGUGGGUGAAUUUUGAAUGCUUUUGUUGAUUGUUUUAUUGAUAUUUUGCUUUGUAUUUUUGUGCUCUUGUGCUAGUAUUUAUUGGAGAGUAAACCUUGAUGUAAUUGAGGUUGUUUGAGGUGAAUGAUUGUAAAAAUUUGGUUCAUUGUUUGGGUUGCAAUUAUCAUUGUUCUAAAGAUAGAUUGGGUUUUGGCCAAUAAGUAAUUUAGAAAAUUAUUGAAUAAAAUCAUUUACUAAGUGAGGCUUUGUAGAAUAAGAUUGGUGUUAAAAUAGCAAGAGAUGCGAAGGGCGUUAAGAUGUAGGUACAGUAGGUUGCUUCUUACAAGGAAUCCCAAGUACGAGUUUAGUGUUCAUGUGGGGAAUCAUAACUUAAGUUCUAUGUUUAGGCCUCAUUUUGGUUGGGGGAGACAAAGACUUCACUUGUCGUUAUUCUUGUUAGAAGCAGGGUUCACUUGCCGCUUCACCAAUUUGUCAUGGACUUGUUGAAUUCCUAUUGUUUGGCACUCGAGCAAUUGGUUAGGGGUUUAUGGUGGUUAAUAAUUGGAUUUAUGAUCAAAUGUAGGUAGAAAGGGAUAUGGCCUUUUGUGUUGUUGUUCCUGUAACACCCCAAACACGGCCUAAACGUGAUGGCCGAAUUCGGAGUUGUCACAAGGUAAGGUUUUGAAACUAGGGUUGUUUCGUCAAAUAAUUCAAGAUUCAUAGUUCGUAUUCAUUUAUAACCAUUUUCGAAAGUGUUAUUUAAUUCAUUUAUUUACCAAAACAUAAUUUACAGUGGAAGUCUUAAAACCGUUAUAUUUUAGAAAUCCAGUUCGUGUUUUUAGAAAAACCUUUGUUUUCGUAAAAUCGUGUUUUCCAUCAUGCAUUGCAAUGAAAGAGUCAAAAACUGCAUCCAAAACCGAAAUAAAAACCAACAGUCCAGAGAGCCCCCAAAAUUACAAACUCUUAAAUAAAACCAAAAUUAUAAGUAAAAAUGUAAUUUACUAAGUAAGAUAGUUCUCGAUCAGGUGGUCACCGCUGAGCCUCCGUCGCAACGACCUGUCUAAGUCUGUGGAUUACCUGAACAGUACAGACAAACAGACGUGAGUUUUCGUAAACUCAGUGUGUAACCCAACAGAAAUAGACAUGCAAUACAUACAAUAAACUCAUACACAGUCAGAUACAGAUUCAGAUUCAGACCUAAGCCCUUUACAGAUUCAAAUAACAGAACAAAUAUGCAGAUAAAAAAUACAGAAUCCUAUCCCCAUCCUUUACACACCAACUCCGACCAUCCCAUCACACCAUGUGGGGUUAAAAACACCCACCCAUCCCUACACACCACAUCGUGCCAUUACGACACAUGUCAGAUAAUGUCCAGCCAAGCUGCCAGAAUAUAGACGAUGAUAGCCAUACAGAACACUUCCUCCACAUAUACAAAUCCCACCGCAAUCAGAUAUAUAUAAUCAGAGUUAUCAUGCUCACAUGCUCAUAUAUAGAUAUCAGAUAUAUAUAGUUAGACUAAUCAGACAUGCAUAACAGUAUCAUAUUUAGAACAAAAUAUUAGACUAACAGAUCACAUAGUUUUAGGGUUUGGUUAGCCAUUACCGACCCUACAGUAGGCCCACAGUAGGUCGGAAUGACCCGUGCGACCCUAGGGAAAAUUUUAAAAUUUUGGGCCCACAUGCUUGUGUGGGCCCAACGACCGUGUAGCCCAUACUCCCAAAUUGGCCUUGCCCGUGUAGUUGACACGGUCUGGCCCAAACCACACGUCUGUGUGGCAUGCUCGUGUGGGCUCACACAUCGAACUUGGCCUAGCCCAUAUGGCCCACACAGCCACACCUACAUCGUCACAUAGCUAUGUCUAGCACAUGGCCAUGCCCUCGUCAAACACACGGCCGUGUCUCGCACACGGCCAACCACACGGCCAGGCACACGCCUGUGUGGCGUCGACAGUAAGGUUUUUUAGCUUUCACCGAAGCUCUAUUUUCUACGUUCCAGGUACACACCUGACACGAUUUCGAUGCAAAAACACCCCCGAAACCACCAGAACCUAGAAUCGACAAAUCAACUCACAAAAUCAGUCUUAAUUCAAGAUUAUUUUGAACCAUAAAACUGAAAAUAGUUCAAUUCACAUAAUCAUUACUUACCCCAACACCCCGAACGAUUUCACUACGAUGCCGCAAAAGGAGAGCCCCGUUCUUCGCGAUUCGUUGUUGCCAAAACCCAUAAAUUAAACUAAUAAAAAUAAAACAUCUUUAGAACGGCACUAAAAGAAAACCCCCUAUUAAAUCGAGCAAAACCUUACCACCACUUGCCGCAAUGCAUGAAAACAAUGAGCUAAGAGCACUGAAAUUAACAGGAAGACGAAAACAGGAAGAACAAGAAAAGAGAAUUCGACAGAAAAAUGGAGAAACAGAAAUUAAAGUCAAAUUUUUGGAAGAAUGGAAAAAAUUAAUUAAAAUUUGGAAAAGAAAAAUAAAAAGAUAGCAAAAGCUACCCAACCUACUAGAUCCUUUACAUAAAAAUAAGGGUAAAAAGAAAUUUUAUCCAUCUCUGAUUGUACACCCAAUGGGUUAUUUAAUCCAUAUUGAUGCAAUGCGGCCAGAUGAAGAAGACUGGCGCCUACAAAAUAAAGGGGAGUAAAUGAUAAAGACUAAAAAAAUGAUUUAAGGUGGCAUUGUCCACGGAGAAACCACCCCAAAGCCAAGUCACUAUGGUAUCCCCUACUACAGGUAUCCCCUUACCACUUGAACCAGCAGGCUCAUUCUAAUAUGGAUUAACAAACAAUUUUAUGUAAACCCACUCCUCAAAGGUAAGGCUUGAAUUAGAAAAAUAACAAAAUUGGCAAAAGGGAGACUUGAACCCAAGACAUCACACACACACCCAAAACACCUAACCACUGAAGUAGAUACAUAGUUAUGUUAGAAUUUACAGAUACAAAAAUAAAUUUAUCAGGGCGUUACAAUUCCAGUAUAUAUACACCCUUCAAGAAAAUGAAGAGUAUGAGGAGGUAUACUUCGUAGUUCGAAGAGAGGGGGUUGAACAACUCAUUUAUAGAGGAGUGGGGAGUUUGAACCCAAAUCCCAAGAAGUACAUUUUGGUAUAGUUAAAGUUUGGGAAUUCUUUCCGGUUUCCUACUAAAUGGAGAAGACCUAUGCCCCAUCGUUUUCUUCAUCAUCCUUGGUGGGAGGAUGUUCUUAAUGGGGAGAAUAUUUAUAACCUUUUGAAUCAUAAUGUCUUCUUAGUUAUCCCUCAUGACAUUUCCCUUCGUGGGAAGUUUCGCUAUUAUCUUCGCGACAAGAGGGCUAUGAGGAACACCCUUCCAAAUUUGAUAGAGCUUUGAGGGAUGUUGGGCUAUAGAUACAGCACGAGAACUCCAAGCCGUAUAACUUGAGACAUGCUAUUUCCAAAUAUCUUUGAGGUUAUUUUUUGGAGCCCUUAAAUUUUUUUCAAAUUAUGUGGGUUUCUGAACUGUAAGUGGCAAUUUCCUCUCGUGUCUCCACACAGGGUGCCUAUUUGAGACCAAACUUGAAGUAGUGACCACCUCUAAAUGUGCGAGCAUUUAGAGUAAAAAUAGUGCAAAUAAAAUAUUGAAUGAAAUGCGAUAUCUGCAAGUAAACAUGUCAAAUUGUAAUAUAGCUUUGUGUUACAAUAGAACACUGGUAAGCAUUCUGAGGAUUAUACCUAAGGGAGGUUGAAUUAAAUCUAAAAAUGUCUUCUACAAUAGCAGGUCUAAACAAUAGUCACUAAAAAUUAUAUUUACAAUAAUUAAGAAUAAAUAUUAAAGUCAUAAAAUAAAAACAAAACUACUAAAAUGAAGUUGACAAAUAAAACAACUCUUGAAUAACAAGCAGAAGAUUAACUCACUUUGCAAUUAACUUCAGAAUUUGGGUUUUAUUAGUGAAUUAGUUAUUAACUAACUAGUAUUACCUCUCGGCCUCUACUAAUUAAUUAAUUGACCAAUACUCACUAAUCUCUCAACCUCACUUUUGUGAUCGGGAUAAAUCACGAUUUACUCGGAAAACUUAUCUCUCGACCUAAUUAAACCUAGAUUACUUCCUAGGGUCAUCAAUCCUAUGGUUUAAGCACAUAUAAAUUUACACCAACUAAUUCGUAUGGGAAACCCUCAUUCUUUCGUUAACCACCUCACAUCAGCUCGUUAAUCUCUCUAAAGAACUUAGUCAUUCAUCGAUUCAAUAACCAUCUUCUUUAAAAUUAAAUUAAUCAUGCAAGAACACAAUAAAUUAAAAGAGAGGAAGAUAGAAAUUGGUCCGUUUGAGAAUCUUGAUGUGCUCAGAUUUGCAAAAUCCUUUAACAAUUAUCGUGAUAUCAUCAUUUGCAAGAGAAACGUAAAGGAAAAUUAUGAAAAUACUAAAUAAUGAAGACUUGGAGUCAAAUCAAAUCCAAGUCGAAGAACAAGAAAUAAAAUUGUUUUUAAAAUAAAAUAGAACUAAUUUAAAAUCCUAAACUAUUAAACUAAAACCUUAAAACGACUUGGCAAAAACUCUUCAAGCUUAACCUUGCUUAACUAUUUAUAGGCAAAGUUAGUAGCCUAAUUUAGGUCAAAAAGCCUUAACCACACUAAAUAUGGAUUGUGCGGAUCGAAAUACCCUUAAUUAACUUUUGCCUUCCAUCAAACCUAUGUCGCGACACACAACUUCAAAUGUAAAAUCUUGAAUUGGCUUGGUUGUGUUGCGACACCGGAAGCUUGUGUUGCGACUCGAUUGUUGUUCCUAAUGCCUUAGGGCCUAAAAUUAGAUGUCCUGCACACUCAAUGAAAAGAUUAAAACUACCUUAAGGCCUGUAUUGGCCCAAUAGGUCAACUAACUCCAAAUAUUGCGUAAAAAUAUUUAUUUUGCAAUAAUUUGAAUCUAAGCUAAGAAAAUUGAAAAUGCAAUAAAAAAAUACUAAAAUGACAAGAAAACAAGCUUGUUAAGUGCCGAAAAAUACCUAAACUGUAACAUCCCAAAAUAGGGUCUAAACGAAAUAGUGGUUGCAAAACCACAAAUCUAAAAUAGAAAAUUUUAUUACGAUGAAUUAUCAUGAUUUACCGAUUGAUUGGAUGCAUGUGUUAGACUACCGAUAAGAAUUUUAUAGAUUGCAUGUUUAAUUUGUCUAUUAGGGCUUAUUUGCAAAAGUUGCAAAAUAUGUGUUCUAGUUCAUAAAGUACUUAAUUGAAA